CAGCCUGCCCAGUGACAAAAUUCAACGGCCUCGGUACUCUGACCGCGCGAAGGUAGCAUAAUCACUUGUUCUUUAAAUAAGGACUUGUAUCAACGGCAUCACGAGGGUUGCACUGUCUCCUUUUUCUAAUCAGUGAAACUAAUCUCCCCGUGAAGAAGCGGGGAUACUACUAUAAGACGAGAAGACCCCAUGGAGCUUUAAACCCAACUACACCCCUAUUCCUAAUAACUACUUAAUCAAUUGGACACUGUAUGCUUGGUUUUAGGUUGGGGCGACCACGGAGUAAAAACCAACCUCCAUGAUGAACGGACUUACCCCUUAUCUAAGAGCCACAGCUCUAAGAAUUAGAACACUAACAUAAAAUGAUCCUUUCUUGAUCAACGAACCAAGUUACCCUGGGGAUAACAGCGCAAUCCAUUUCAAGAGCCCCUAUCGACAAAUGGGUUUACGACCUCGAUGUUGGAUCAGGAUAUCCUGGUGGUGUAGCAGCUACCAAAGGUUCGUUUGUUCAACGAUUAAAAUCCU
rnacentral:rRNA from 1 species